rnacentral:lncRNA from 1 species
CACUCCCCAUCUCCCUCAUCAAGAGAUCCCUCAAACCUUUACACCGCCCUUCCAUCCUCUCCAGAGUUCCCGGCGCUGCCGCCUCUAAUCACCCCCAAAUCCAACACUCCAAAAUCAUCACACCCUCCCCUUUCUCGAUCCCUAAUCAAUUUCCCUCGAAUCACCCUAGCAUUCUUCGAAUCUCGAAUCUGAAUUCAAACCCCUAAAAGCCCAAAAUGCCUACUCUCGAAGAGGUGGCAUGCAAGGUCCAAGCCCCGAGUUUCUUAAGUGUUCAACGCUGGUUUAUCACAAAAUAAUGAUGUUUGCUUGUUCUUGACAAAGAACAAGUGAUUGGCAUUAUUUUGGGUUACAUCUGUGUGUCAAUAUCGAUUUCGAACCUAUUCGGUGAGUUUCCUUCAUUUUUCUUUUCAUUUUUGUGUUAUUUCACCUCUUAUACCUCUUCAUUUCUUCUCCAUUUCUUUGGUUAGAUUUCUUUACUUUGGCUGAAACUCGACCAAGUUUCUGAACCAAGAUUGAUUUGUGUUUGUUUGUUCCAUUUGCUUUUCUUUUCACAUCGUUAAAGAUUUUCUCUUAUUCUUGUUGGUCUGCUCAAUGGCCUGUUUAGUUUUUAUUAGUGCCAUGCUUAAACCCCUGAUUUUGCCUUUUAUUUCAGUAUCAUAGUUUAAGUUAGUUAGGUCAUUUUGAAUUAAUAACCUAGUUAAUUCUAUGUCUAUUUGUGUUAUUAAUCAUUCACUUAGUCUAGAUUUUUAAUUUUGAGAUUGUUUAAGUGUUUGUUUUCUUCUGCCUUCCAUGUUAUUACAAAAUGUAGACCCAUUUGCAAAAAGCAACCAGUUUAUUUUGGUUUAAGCUAUUGGGUCAACUUGACCCUAGUAUGGGGUAAAAACAGAGGGUUUAAGGGAUAGUUUAGGAAUUUUAGGUUAGGGAAUCUUUAAUAACUAAAUGGAGAAGCUUCAUAUAAGGUGGGUUUGGGGCAAUUUGAAAAGUUUAAUUUGAACUUAAGGAUUAAACAAAAAAAUAGAAAUUCCAAAAGGGUAAAAUAACAAAUCUAUAAUAUUUUUUGUUGCCCUAAGGCUUGCCUAUAAAGGCAUAGUUUCUUCACUUACAAGUCAGAAAUUCAGAGAUGAAAAACAGUGAAAAGUUAGAAAAUGGCUAGGUCUCUUUCAAGCUCUAAAACACUGAAUUUUUUUUGAAAAAUUUGGUUUCUGGUUUUUCCUUCCUUUUGGUUCAUUAGAAUUUCUGAAUGUUCUAAAUCAAAUAGCUAGGUUUUGUUUGGUAUUGCCGUUUGAAAAAUAGUUUGAGUUUGGGGUUUAAAGAGGCUUGGUUUGAGUUGUUGUUUCUUUACUCUUACAUUGCUACGUUUUGAUGUUGCUGCUUCCCCCUGAUCUCAAGUUUUGUUUCUGGUUUAUUUUGCUAUAUUUGGGUACACGUUUCUGAAUCCUACUUAAUGUGAGACUCAAUUUGAAGGAUGGAAUGGAAAAUGGAGUUUAAAGUAUAGUAUCGGCUUUAUUUAUGAUUCAGUUGUAUUCCAUUGUAUUUUAUUGCUUGAUUUACUUUAUCUUCUAGCUGAUUUUCGGGUUUUGAUAGUUGGACUUAUAUCAUUGUAUUUAACUUUAGGAAUUAUAGAAUUACUGCAGUAAAAUGUUCAGUCGAGUUACACCCUUGAGACUAGCUGAUUUCUGCAAUUUACUUUAGUGCCUAUUAUGUGUAUAUAUGACCAUUUUGUUGUUAAUUCUCUUUGAGUUUUGAAAGUUUCAAGUAGUUACUCUAAUUUAGAUGAUUGGUUUGUUAAAAGGACUGGAACAUUGUUGAAUAUGAGGACUCUUGGUUUUUCCCAUAUGUAAGUAUGAAGAAAAUAGAUAUAGGAUUAGAACUUUUACUUGAUUUGCUGAUUGAUACAUGGGAUUCGAUAGAGAAUUGCCUAUUGGAUCCAUGAUACCAGGCAUAUGCAUCUGCUUUGAAAUCCAUCAAGUAUUUUGGUGAAAGCCGAAGUAGAAGAUGGUUAUGUUUUGACAGCAAUACCAAUAGAGUUAUUGGUUAUAAUACUCUGUGGUAAUUUCACCGAAGUGUUUUAGUUUCAGUGAUGUUUCGUAAUGAUUUUGAUUUUUCAAAGUCUAUGUGGUUUGAGUGUUCUUGAUCAUGAAGGUUUUAGUUUUUUAUUGAAAACGAAGGCGGCAUGCUCUUGUAUUUUUGUUUAUUAUGAAAGCAUGUUUUGUGUAAAUUUGAAAUGGUUAAGUGUAGUUUGUGUGGUUUAAAUUUGGGGUGUUAACGGAUGAAAUAAGCUGCAUACGAGCUAUUACCAAUUAGAAAUUGUAUCUUCGUUUUAGAAUAGGCUUUGUACCUUCUCAAGGAUUUUCAGUAUUUGUGCAAACUUUCGAUAUUUCAUAAAAAUUAAGUUUGCCUUAAGUCUUAUUGUUGAAUCAUGAACUGGGCUAUUACAUUGGCCCAGUUGUGCCAAAAUUCUCCCCGGCGAUUUAUAUUCUCGAUAUGGGUCUUAUGUUGAGCUUCGUUGUUGCCUUCACACUUGUUAUGGAAUUGGUGAGUAUCAACUUGUUCCAGCCGACUUAUGCUCCUUGUAAUAACCAAAUGCCUAUUUUACUUUGGGUCAACCAAUUAGCUACUAAAGUUUAGUUCAAACACUUGAUCAAAAUGAAUUAGAAAUCUCCUUGGCCUUUCAAUAAAUUAGUUAGAUCCUUAAAUAAUUUGAGGCAUGCCAUGUCAAAUAAAAUCUCAAAAUGCAUGGCCAUCACUUAAUUAAUUUUCACUCUUUCGAAGUAGAGGCGUGCCAUUUGUGUAAUUUUCCAAGGCCCUCGCAAACUUGAAAGCGCGUAAUUUUAUAUAAAUUAAUUUUCUUAAACCCCGGUGUGCUCAUGUGACCCAACUCCCAUUCAUGUAGCGGGGUUAAAGGCAUGUUCUAAUUAGCGUUGAAAAUUCCUAAAAAAUUAUUUAAAGGCUGUUAAUAAAUUAAAAUAUAUCAUAGGCUAAAAAAUGUAUCAAAGUUAGAUAAUAGACCAAUUAUAAUAGUUUAAGCGACCAUGCUAGAACCAUGGAAUUCGGGAAUGCCUAACACCUUCUCUCGGGUUAACAAAAUUCCUUAUUCAAAAUUUUUGGUUCGUAGACUUCUAAAAGAAAGUUGAAUUUUUUUGAUUUGGGAUUUAAAAUUAAACCGGUGACU